rnacentral:rRNA from 1 species
UACGUAGGGUGCGAGCGUUGUCCGGAAUUACUGGGCGUAAAGAGCUCGUAGGUGGUUUGUCGCGUUGUUCGUGAAAACUCACAACUCAAUUGUGGGCGUGCGGGCGAUACGGGCAGACUGGAGUACUGCAGGGGAGACUGGAAUUCCUGGUGUAGCGGUGGAAUGCGCAGAUAUCAGGAGGAACACCGGUGGCGAAGGCGGCUCUCUGGGACGGUACUGACGCUGAGACGCGAAAGCGUGGGGAGCGAACAGG